rnacentral:rRNA from 1 species
GACAGAGGCCUCAAGCGUUAGGCGGAAUCACUGGGCUUAAAGCGUGUGUAGGCGGAUCGUUAAGUGUCUUGUGAAAUCCCACGGCUCACCCGUGGAACUGCUGGGCAUACUGGCGAUCUUGGGCCAACUAGGGGCAACUGAACAAGCGGUGGAGCGGUGAAAUGCGUAGAUAUCGCUUGGAACGCCAACGGUGAAGACAGGUUGCUGGGGUUGUGCCGACGCUGAGACACGAAAGCCAGGGGAGCAAACAGG